rnacentral:rRNA from 1 species
UACAGAGGUCUCAAGCGUUGUUCGGAAUCACUGGGCGUAAAGGGCGCGUAGGCGGCGGGGAAAGUCAGAUGUGAAAUCCGGAGGCUCAACCUCCGAAUUGCAUCCGAUACUCCCUCGCUAGAGAUUUGUAGAGGAGCUUGGAAUUCUCGGUGUAGCAGUGAAAUGCGUAGAUAUCGAGAAGAACGCUCGCAGCGAAGGCGAAGCUCUGGGCAAAUUCUGACGCUGAUGCACGAAGGCUAGGGGAGCAAACGGG